rnacentral:ncRNA from 1 species
GCAAAGAUAAUGAAGGGGAGGAGAAACAUUGAAUUUCAGGCUGCAGAGAGCCGGAGUAAGGUGCAAGUCCGGCGCCGAAACAAUGUUUCAGGAUCACCCCGGAAUCGUCUUACGAACGGCUGAAAAGCUCAGUAGUUUCGACCGGUUGACAUCCGUUACAAUGUCGUGGUGAAUACAUAAGUGGCUGUGUGUUUUGAUGCGCGCAGCAAGCAGGGUGGUACCGCGGAAGGUUUAACCUCUCGUCCCUGGC